rnacentral:rRNA from 1 species
AGUGAACGCUGGCGGUAGGCCUAACACAUGCAAGUCGAACGGCAGCACAGUAAGAGCUUGCUCUUACGGUUGGCGAGUGGCGGACGGGUGGGGAAUACAUCGGAAUCUACUUUUUCGUGGGGGAUAACGUGGGGAAACUUACGCUAAUACCGCAUACGCCCUACGGGUGAAAGCAGGGGAUCUUCGGACCUUGCGCGAUUGAAUGAGCCGAUGUCGGAUUAGCUAGUUGGCGGGGUAAAGGCCCACCAAGGCGACGAUCCGUAGCUGGUCUGAGAGGAUGAUCAGCCACACUGGAACUGAGACACGGUCCAGACUCCUACGGGAGGCAGCAGUGGGGAAUAUUGGACAAAGGGCGCAAGCCUGAUCCAGCCAUACCGCGUGGGUGAAGAAGGCCUUCGGGUUGUAAAGCCCUUUUGUUGGGAAAGAAAAGCAGCAGGUUAAUACCCCGCUGUUCUGACGGUACCCAAAGAAUAAGCACCGGCUAACUUCGUG